UCCUCUAGUUUCAAAAAGUAUGGUGGGAUCUCUCCCACCAAGUGUUCUUGAUUUUCAUAUUGUAACUCUUUCUUUCUAGUAUAAUAUCAGAUUACUCAUCUCUUUUUGUUCUUCAUAUAUUUUGUUAUCGUUAAAUCUCAACAUCAUAUUAUUCCGCACAAUUCGAUCGUUAAAAGAGGUUCCUACAAUUGGCACCACCGUCAUAUCUUGAAGGUGUAAGCGAUUAUUUCAAAGAGACUAUUCCCGAUUGACUACCUCUAUGUUAUGAUUUUUCGAUUUUUCUACUAAAAUUUUUGGGUUCGCAACUAGAGAUUUUAUGAUGAGUUUUCUUAUUUUUGAGUGUUGAUUUAAGCUUUUUCAAGCUUUCAAGAAUAAAUGUUGCUGCUAUCUUUUUCAAUUUUUACUGAAAAUCCGAGUUUACAAAGUUUUUAUAUUGUUGUUGAAGAAAAAAAAAGGAAGAAGAUAUUUGUUGGCUAAAACAUUUGAAGAUUUUACAGACAUUUUUAUGCUACGGAAUGAAGUCACAAUAUCUUGGGUUUUUAUGUAAAAGAUGGUUCUUGAGCAAGAUAUCAAAGAGAUUUUCGAGUUCAUAUAACUUGGAGAUUUUUAUCUUGCCAAAAGAUUGGAGAAGACUUCUUUUUGAAGAAUUUAUCAGCAUAAUGUUUUUGAGUUCAUCACAAAAGGUUAUUCUUUUGAAGAAUAUUGAGUGUAUUAUGAUCCGAGAACUAGAGAUGUUACAUACUUUUUAACCUGGAUCUCAUUUUUCUGCCUCAAAAGUGGUGAUCUUGAAUCUGAAGAUAUUUACCAAUUAAAGAUUUGUAGCCAGCAUCAGAGAUCAUCACAAAAACUUCAUAGUUUCAGAUUUAUUUCAGCAUUUGGUUCUCAUUAUGUAUCAUUUUUGUUACCACACUUGCUAGUUGGUUACUAUGUAUUUUAACCUUUUAUCAUUGUAUUUGUAUCCCUCAUCAUUUGCGAGCAUUUAGGGAGAGAUUUUUGGAGCAUGGAAAUGCUCUACAAAUUAUGAGUGAUAGUUUGGUUAUUUUAUUCCAUUUUAUCGUUAUUACGAUACCUCUCUCUAUAAAUAGAGAGGGAGUGUUCAUUUGUGUAAUGUGCACCAAAAUGUAGUCCUCUAGUUAGAGAGACUAUGGUGGGAUCUCUCCGACCAAGUGUUCUUCAUUUUCAUAUUGUAACUCUUUCUAUCUAGUAAAAUAUCGAAUAACUCA